UCUGUGUAGAGCUGGCUGUCUCGGGGCUCUCUCUACUAUAGACCUGGUUAGCCUGGAACUCACAGAGAUCCUUUUGCCUCUUCAUCCGGAAUUCUGGGAUUAAAGGUGAUCUUCUAGUUCUCUCAGCAAAAAUGGGUGCUCGUUAAAUUCUUCGUCAGUCAGGUUGCAGGCAAAUUGGAUUCGAAGUUUCACACACCUGGUAGCCAAGCGUGCCUUCAGGAUUGUGGGAUUGAAGCUUUUCCCACCAGAUUUUAAAGCCUAAGACCACGGUGUCCCUCCUUCUGCCCAGGGUCCACCCAGGGACACUGAAUCAAGGACCAAUGCCACCCGACCAAGAUGGACAUAAUGCAGCCACGGCCCUGGAUCAAUAAAGUUACAAUCUAACAGCCCCACCCAGGUAUCAGAUUUGCCCAUGGAAAACCAUUGCUGAGAUGAGACUCGAGUCAGGAGCAGCUGAUGAGACCCAGUGCUCACAGCAUUUUCCAGAGAGGGAACCGGAGGUGCAAGGCAAGAACCCUCACAUCUGUGGUCGGACACGAGGAAGCACCAGUCACAGAGGAAAAGAUUCCUAAUUUUCAUAUCACCGAUGUUAACAUUUCUACACAGAAAACUCCAUCAUGGGAGGAAAGGGUUCACAAAGUGACCAGCUGUUUACAGAACUGGCAGUGUCCCUCUCAGAACAGGCCUGUGCGUUUCUUCAAUUCCAUAAGAAUCACAGAAAAUGUGCUAAGUGAUGGUGGUGUGCUGGCAGAGGACAAGCCAAUAGUGCAUCCAAUGUGGGAGAUGCCAUCGCAUGCAUACCAGCUCUGGAUGGCAAGGAUGUGGACAGCAGGAGCUCUCUCACCAGGGACAGGGAUGAACAGGCAAUGUUCACCAUCGUUGGAACGUUCCCCGCAUCGUGGUCCAGGGAUGUGGAUGGCAGUGUUCACUGAUGCUUCCUUUGCAAGAACCAUGAAUGCUGUGUCCAUGAGCAGGUGCGCACACGUGCACCAAGGCCUGAUUACUGCAGUAGAUGUCACGGCAUUGAAAGAAAGGAUCUAACCUAGCCGUCCCCAAACAACAUGGGUGAACUCCAUCAACAUACUGAUCAGGACAAAUAUGCUAAACAAUUCCAAUCUCGUGAAGCCCCUACCAGGCAGAAGAAGGUGGGCAGAACUAUAGACUCCUAAGGACAUGGGGUCCUAAUACAUAGAAUUUUUGCGUGUAACUUUGUGUCAAAAGGGGCCGUGCUCUGUGAGCAGAUUGAGGCUUUGCCCAGGGUAUAGCCAAAGUGUGUAACCUUGGAGGUGUCUACAAGAGCUGGGCUUGCUAGAGAGGAUUGGAUGGUCUUGGUGGUAGAGAUGGGGUGUCAUGAAGCAUCCAGAGGGAGCAAGUUUCUACUGAUACUGUGAUUCUUAUGGUCAUGGCUGCCUAGUUUGAGAAGACUUGUUCACCGGGGCUAGGCUAGCAGGCAGCAGCAUUACCAAGUCGGGAGCAUGGGUACCUGGGUAUGGAUGCAGUGGGAGGGGGCUUCUUAAAGACACUGGCAGCUGUUUGGAAGAAAGAGGAUGUGGAUAAGAGGAGGGCUUUGUAGCUGUGGGUGCUAACGGUGGAAAGCUG
rnacentral:lncRNA from 1 species